GCGGGAAAUGGGGAUGAGCAGAAGAUCACAGGAUGAUACAUGUGUUUACAGAAAUAGUCUCCCCUGUUAAAGAUCAACCAUGGCGUAUAUACAUUGCCGGAUGUCAUCUGGUCAUCAACAGAGAGUUUUGAUACUAUAUUUCUACCAGUCACCUCUGUGACCUUUGUUAUGUUUAGCAGACAGAUGCGCAUGAUGCAACUUCCUGGAUGGUGUGUAGGCUGUUUGUCAACAUGUGAAACCCACGUGUAUUUCAGGGUAGGUAUGUUUACACUCAAUUUUCUUUCUUAAAAGCCGCAUAAGGCGUAUU